rnacentral:rRNA from 1 species
UACGUAGGCAGCGAGCGUUGUUCGGAAUUACUGGGCGUAAAGAGUGUGUAGGCGGUGCUCUAAGUUCGGUGUGAAAUCUCCUGGCUUAACUGGGAGGGUGCGCCGGAAACUGGAGUGCUCGAACGUGGGAGAGGAAAGCGGAAUUCCUGGUGUAGCGGUGAAAUGCGCAGAUAUCAGGAGGAACACCGGUGGCGAAGGCGGGUCUCUGGGCCGAUACUGACGCUGAGGAGCGAAAGCGUGGGGAGCGAACAGG